rnacentral:tRNA from 1 species
GUCAUGGUCCAGUGGCUAGGAUUCAUCGCUCUCACCGAUGCGGCGGGGUUCGAUUCCACGGAGACA